CGUUAGCGGCGACGGGUGAGUAACACGUGGGUAACCUACCUAUAAGACUGGGAUAACUUCGGGAAACCGGAGCUAAUACCGUAUAAUAUUUCGAACCGCAUGGUUCGAUAGUGAAAGANGGUUUUGCUAUCACUUAUAGAUGGACCUGCGCCGUAUUAGCUAGUUGGUAAGGUAACGGCUUACCAAGGCGACGAUACGUAGCCGACCUGAGAGGGUGAUCGGCCACACUGGAACUGAGACACGGUCCAGACUCCUACGGGAGGCAGCAGGC
rnacentral:rRNA from 1 species